rnacentral:rRNA from 1 species
UGGGGAGUUUUCCGCAAUGGGCGAAAGCCUGACGGAGCAAUGCCGCGUGGAGGUGGAAGGCCUACGGGUCGUCAACUUCUUUUCUCGGAGAAGAAACAAUGACGGUAUCUGAGGAAUAAGCAUCGGCUAACUCUGUGCCAA